rnacentral:rRNA from 1 species
UACGUAGGUGGCAAGCGAUACUCGGAAUCACUAGGCGUAAAGCGCAGGUAGGCGGUGCAAUAAGUCUUUUUGUGAAAGCUCCCGGCUUAACUGGGAGAGGUCAAGGGAAACUGUUGUGCUAGAGUGUGGCAGAGGAAGCUAGAAUUCCCGGUGUAGCGGUGAAAUGCGUAGAUAUCGGGAGGAAUACCUAUGGCGAAAGCAGGCU